rnacentral:rRNA from 1 species
CGUAAACGAUGAAUACUAGGUGUAGGAGGUAUCGACUCCUUCUGUGCCGCAGUUAACACAAUAAGUAUUCCGCCUGGGGAGUACGGUCGCAAGAUUAAAACUCAAAGGAAUUGACGAGGGCCCGCACAAGCAGCGGAGCAUGUGGUUUAAUUCGAAGCAACGCGAAGAACCUUACCUAGACUUGACAUCUUCUGCAUUAAUCGUAAUGGAUGAAAUCCCUUCGGGGACAGAAUGACAGGUGGUGCAUGGUUGUCGUCAGCUCGUGUCGUGAGAUGUUGGGUUAAGUCCCGCAACGAGCGCAACCCCUAUUAUUAGUUGCUAACAUUAAGUUGAGCACUCUAGUGAGACUGCCCGGGUUAACCGGGAGGAAGGUGGGGAUGACGUCAAAUCAUCAUGCCCCUUAUGUCUAGGGCUACACACGUGCUACAAUGGUGGGAACAAAGAGAUGCAAUACCGCAAGGUGGAGCUAAACUCAAAACCCCAUCCCAGUUCGGAUUGUAGGCUGAAACUCGCCUACAUGAAGCUGGAGUUGCUAGUAAUCGCGAAUCAGAAUGUCGCGGUGAAUACGUUCCCGGGCCUUGUACACACCGCCCGUCACACCAUGAGAGUCGGCAACACCCGAAGCCCGUGAGGCAACCUUUUGGAGCCAGCGGUCGAAGGUGGGGUUGAUGAUUGGGGUGAAGUCGUAACAAGGUAGCCGUAGGAGAACCUG